rnacentral:rRNA from 1 species
UCCGUAGGUAACCUGCGGAGGGAUCAUUACUGAGUUUACGCUCUACAACCCUUUGUGAACAUACCUAUAACUGUUGCUUCGGCGGGUAGGGUCUCCGUGACCCUCCCGGCCUCCCGCCCCCGGGCGGGUCGGCGCCCGCCGGAGGAUAACCAAACUCUGAUUUAACGACGUUUCUUCUGAGUGGUACAAGCAAAUAAUCAAAACUUUUAACAACGGAUCUCUUGGUUCUGGCAUCGAUGAAGAACGCAGCGAAAUGCGAUAAGUAAUGUGAAUUGCAGAAUUCAGUGAAUCAUCGAAUCUUUGAACGCACAUUGCGCCCGCCAGCAUUCUGGCGGGCAUGCCUGUUCGAGCGUCAUUUCAACCCUCAAGCUCUGCUUGGUGUUGGGGCCCUACAGCUGAUGUAGGCCCUCAAAGGUAGUGGCGGACCCUCCCGGAGCCUCCUUUGCGUAGUAACUUUACGUCUCGCACUGGGAUCCGGAGGGACUCUUGCCGUAAAACCCCCCAAUUUUCCAAAGGUUGACCUCGGAUCAGGUAGGAAUACCCGCUGAACUUAAGCAUAUCA